AUUGAACGCUGGCGGCAGGCCUAACACAUGCAAGUCGAACGGUAGCACAGAGAGCUUGCUCUCGGGUGACGAGUGGCGGACGGGUGAGUAAUGUCCGGGAAACUGCCUGAUGGAGGGGGAUAACUACUGGAAACGGUAGCUAAUACCGCAUAAUGUCGCAAGACCAAAGAGGGGGACCUUCGGGCCUCUUGCCAUCGGAUGUGCCCAGAUGGGAUUAGCUUGUUGGUGAGGUAAAGGCUCACCAAGGCGACGAUCCCUAGCUGGUCUGAGAGGAUGACCAGCCAAACUGGAACUGGGACACGGUCCAGACUCCUACGGGAGGCAGCAGUGGGGAAUAUUGCACAAUGGGCGCAAGCCUGAUGCAGCCAUGCCGCGUGUGUGAAGAAGGCCUUCGGGUUGUAAAGCACUUUCAGCGGGGAGGAAGGCGGUGAGUUUAAUAAGCUCACCGAUUGACGUUACCCGCAAAAGAAGCACCGGCUAACUCCGUGCCAGCCGCCGCCGUAA
rnacentral:rRNA from 1 species